rnacentral:lncRNA from 1 species
CCAUGUGAACAAAAUCACCUUCAGCUGUGAUUGUAGAGUCAGGGAAAACAUCAUAGUCCCUCAAUCUAGAUGGUGGUUGUCUUAGUCUUUGAGAUGAUGAUGUAGUGAGGGGUUGACCAGGUGGGGCAUGAGAUGAAUUACCAAUGACUUCACCUUCUUCUUGGUUAUGCAGAUUAUUUUCAGUGUUAUCAACUUGCAGCCUAGAUGCAUCUUCAAGUGGUAAGCCAACUUUUACUCUUGAAGUGCUAGCUUCCUCAUUCCAAUUCCAACAUUGG